CCUACGGGAGGCAGCAGUGGGGAAUAUUGCACAAUGGGCGCAAGCCUGAUGCAGCAACGCCGCGUGAAGGAAGAAGGCCCUCGGGUCGUAAACUUCUGUCCUUGGGGAAGAAGAACUGACGGUACCCAAGGAGGAAGCUCCGGCUAACUACGUGCCAGCAGCCGCGGUAAUACGUAGGGAGCAAGCGUUAUCCGGAUUUAUUGGGUGUUAAGGGUGCGUAGAAGGAGAAGCAAGUUAGUUGUGAAAGCCCUCGGCUUAACUGAGGAACUGCAACUAAAACUAGUUCCCUUGAGUACUGGAGAGGAUAGUGGAAGUCCUAGUGUAGCGGUGAAAUGCGUAGAUAUUAGGAAGAACACCAGUGGCGAAGGCGAGUUUCUGGACAGUAACUGACGCUGAGGCACGAAAGUGUGGGGAGCAAACAGGAUUAGAUACCCCUGUAGUC
rnacentral:rRNA from 1 species